rnacentral:rRNA from 1 species
GCCGGCGAUGGUUCAUUCAAAUUUCUGCCCUAUCAACUUUCGAUGGUAUGGUCUUGGCUUACCAUGGUUUCAACGGGUAACGGGGAAUUAGGGUUCUAUUCCGGAGAGGGAGCCUGAGAAACGGUACCACAUCCAAGGAAGGCAGCAGGCGCGCAAAUUACCCAAUCCUGAUACAGGGAGGUAGUGACAAUAAAUACUGGAUACAGGGCUCUUUUGGGUCUUGUAAUUGGAAUGAGUACAAUUUAAAUCCCUUAACGAGGAACAAUUGGAGGGCAAGUCUGGUGCCAGCAGCCGCGGUAAUUCCAGCUCCAAUAGCGUAUAUUAAAGUUGUUGCAGUUAAAAAGCUCGUAGUUGAACCUUGGGCCUGGCUGGCCGGUCCGGCUCACCGCGUGCACUGGUCCGGCCGGGCUUUCCUUCUGGGGAGCCGAUGCCCUUCACUGGGUGUGUCGGGGAACCAGGACUUUUACUUU